GCUCCAGUGGUGUAGACCGGUCAAGCAUAUCGGCCUUUCAAGCCGGGGAUCCCGGGUUCAAAUCCCGGCUGGAGCACCA
rnacentral:tRNA from 1 species